rnacentral:rRNA from 1 species
CAGUAGCCGCGGGAAUACGAAGGGUGCAAGCGUUACUCGGAAUUACUGGGCGUAAAGCGUGCGUAGGUGGUGGUUUAAGUCCGUUGUGAAAGCCCUGGGCUCAACCUGGGAGUUGCAGUGGAUACUGGGUCACUAGAGUGUGGUAGAGGAUAGUGGAAUUUCCGGUGUAGCAGUGAAAUGCGUAGAGAUCGGAAGGAACAUCUGUGGCGAAGGCGACUAUCUGGGCCAACACUGACACUGAGGCACGAAAGCGUGGGGAGCAAACAGGAUUAGAUACCCCAGUAGUCCCUGUCUCUUAUAC